ensembl:lncRNA
CGUUCUUCAAACGUUGUUAGCUGGAAGCUAGCUGGCUAGCUCGCUCCCGGUCACUAAAUAGCAUUAUUUGUGGUCUUUUCUACAUUGUUGUCAUGACGUGGUAAUGCAAGAGAAGGCCUGAUAUCUGAACUAUUUUUUAUUUAUUUUUUUUAUCUUUCAGAUUGACGUGUUCUGCCCGUUCUGUGCGGUGCAACUGGGGGACGCUCCCAAGUUUUGCCCGUCAUGUGGGCAGAAUGUGGGGUUCCUUACACAGCUCCCAUCAACUCCAUCCACCUCGUCAAGCGAAGGCUGUGGGCCUACAGUGAAGGAGACUAGGAAGGAAGGAAGAGCAGCUCAAUUCUUGAGGUUCAGGGAGGUUAAAGAGGCUGAGAGGAGGACCUCCUUUUCAAAGCUUAAAAAGAAGCAGGCCAUUACAGUGAAGGUAAGUUAAAGGGACUCUCACCUUUGUUGCAUUUGAGAAUUACAGCACAUUCAAAUCAUCCCGCCUUCCUCCAAUGCCCCACCCCCU